AUUGAACGCUGGCGGCAGGCCUAACACAUGCAAGUCGAGCGGAUGAAGGGAGCUUGCUCCUGGAUUCAGCGGCGGACGGGUGAGUAAUGCCUAGGAAUCUGCCUGGUAGUGGGGGAUAACGUCCGGAAACGGGCGCUAAUACCGCAUACGUCCUGAGGGAGAAAAUGGGGGAUCUUCGGACCUCACGCUAUCAGAUGAGCCUAGGUCGGAUUAGCUAGUUGGUGGGGUAAAGGCCUACCAAGGCGACGAUCCGUAACUGGUCUGAGAGGAUGAUCAGUCACACUGGAACUGGGACACGGUCCAGACUCCUACGGGAGGCAGCAGUGGGGAAUAUUGGACAAUGGGCGAAAGCCUGAUCCAGCCAUGCCGCGUGUGUGAAGAAGGUCUUCGGAUUGUAAAGCACUUUAAGUUGGGAGGAAGGGCAGUAAGUUAAUACCUUGCUGUUUUGACGUUACCAACAGAAUAAGCACCGGCUAACUUCGUG
rnacentral:rRNA from 1 species